rnacentral:misc_RNA from 1 species
CAUCUGAUGGUCCACCAUCAUUUAGGAGUCUAAGUGGAAAGAGUCAUGAAAAUGGGAAUGGUGCUGGAAGUCUUUCAAGAUUAGCUGGGUUGGGGCGUGCUGCAAGGCGUCAAUUAGUUGCAUAUCUUGAUGAAUUUUGGGGACAGUUGUUUGAUUUUCAUGGGCAAGCAACUCAAGAAGCGAAGAACAAGAAACUGGAUUUGUUGCUAGCUGAUUCAAAGCUUGCAUGUUUCUCAUUGAAAGUGGAUAUUAAAGGAAAGGAAUUUAGUAGAUAUUACCCACCUUUUGGUGGCAGGGGAACCAAUUCUAUGAUUAAUACGAGUUUAUGUGAUUCCCCCAAGCAGCUGAGGGUGCAAAGCAAUAUGGACUCUUCAUAUGGAGUUCAAAGGGGAUCAUCCUCAUUGUGGUCCAACCACAUGCAAUUGCUGGAUGCAUAUGUGCAAGGUUCCAGCCACAAUGCUGUUGACUCUUCAGAGAGGCGGUAUUCUAGUGUGCGCACUUUUCCUUCUUCUGAGGGCUGGGAUAGCCAGCCAGCUACGGUACAUGGUUAUCAUAUUGCAUCUG